rnacentral:rRNA from 1 species
ACUCCUACGGGAGGCAGCAGUGGGGAAUUUUGGACAAUGGGGGCAACCCUGAUCCAGCCAUGCCGCGUGAGUGAAGAAGGCCUUCGGGUUGUAAAGCUCUUUCGGCGGGGAAGAAAUGGCAACGGCUAAUAUCCGUUGUUGAUGACGGUACCCGCAUAAGAAGCACCGGCUAACUACGUGCCAGCAGCCGCGGUAAU